CUACGGGGGGCAGCAGUGGGGCAUAUUGCACAAUGGGCGCAAGCCUGAUGCAGCCAUGCCGCGUGUGUGAAGAAGGCCUUCGGGUUGUAAAGCACUUUCAGCGGGGAGGAAGGCGUUAAGGUUAAUAACCUUGGCGAUUGACGUUACCCGCAGAAGAAGCACCGGCUAACUCCGUGCCAGCAGCCGCGGUAAUACGGAGGGUGCAAGCGUGAAUCGGAAUUACUGGGCGUAAAGCGCACGCAGGCGGUCUGUCAAGUCGGAUGUGAAAUCCCCGGGCUCAACCUGGGAACUGCAUUCGAAACUGGCAGGCUAGAGUCUUGUAGAGGGGGGUAGAAUUCCAGGUGUAGCGGUGAAAUGCGUAGAGAGCUGGAGGAAUACCGGUGGCGAAGGCGGCCCCCUGGACAAAGACUGACGCUCAGGUGCGAAAGCGUGGGGAGCAAACAGGAUUAGAUACCCCGGUAGUC
rnacentral:rRNA from 1 species